CAGCCGCGGUAACACCGGCAGCUCUAGUGGUAGCAAUUUUAUGGGCCUAAAGCGUCCGUAGCCGGUUUAAUAAGUCUCUGGUGAAAUCCUGCAGCUUAACUGUGGGAAUUGCUGGAGAUACUAUUAGACUUGGAGACCGGGAGAGGUUAGAGGUACUCCCAGGGUAGAGGUGAAAUUCUGUAAUCCUGGGAGGACCGCCUGUUGCGAAGGCGUCUAACUGGAACGGUUCUGACGGUGAGGGACGAAAGUUAGGGGCGCGAACCGGAUUAGAUACCCGGGUAGUCCUAACUGUAAACGAUGCGGACUUGGUGUUGGGUGGCUUUGAGCUGCUUCAGUGCCGAAGGGAAGCUGUUAAGUCCGCCGCCUGGGAAGUACGGUCGCAAGACUGAAACUUAAGGAAUUGGCGGGGGAGCACCACAACGCGUGGAGCCUGCCGGUUUAAUUGGAUUCAACGCCGGACAUCUCACCAGAGGCGACAGCUGUAUGAUAGCCAGGUUGAUGACUUUGCUUGACUAGCUGAGAAGUGGUGCAUGG
rnacentral:rRNA from 1 species